UACGUAGGGGGCAAGCGUUGUCCGGAAUUACUGGGCGUAAAGAGCGCGCAGGCGGCUGGUCAAGUCCGACGUGAAAGCCCCCGGCUCAACUGGGGAGGGUCACUCGUCGAUACUGUAUCGACUCGAAGGCAGGAGAGGGUAGUGGAAUUCCCGGUGUAGUGGUGAAAUGCGUAGAUAUCGGGAGGAACACCAGUGGCGAAGGCGACUACCUGGCCUGUUCUUGACGCUGAGGCGCGAAAGCUAGGGGAG
rnacentral:rRNA from 1 species